GGGGAGAAAUGAAGCCAGCAGGCAAAGUAUGGGGAGGGGCUUGGCAAAACUGGGCGCUCAUCUUACCUUGGGUGCUUGCUGGGGACUUGUGAGCAAGUUGCGUCCUAGCCUGGUGUCUCAGAUUUUUCUCUCCCGUCACAAAGCAGUACCACUUCUGACCUCACAGUAUGGCUUUGAGGAAUCAUUGAAUAAGAAAGUGGAUUGGGACGAGCUGCCAAAAGAGCUGCCUGCAUGACAUGUUCGCUUUACAAGGGAUGGUAGAUAGCAUGUGCACGUGCCGUCCCCCCACUUUGGAGCCCAGGGCAGACAUCGCUAAUUGAUCACAGCUCUCCCUCCCCCUGAAUGUGGCGCUGUCUCAGAGCUCCUCUCAGACCAGAGUGCUGCAGGCUGCCACUUCUAGGCUAGUGAAGCUUGGAUGUGAGAUGAAAUCUAUCUUCCAUGCUUGCAUGGUCUGCUGAGAAGCUGCUGCUCUGGAGCCAGGCAUCUCCAGGAAAAGCCAAAGCUUGAGUAAAAAAUGAGGCAGGAAAUCAUAAGGGGGAAGGAGAGGAGACCUAGCCAGGGUAACAGGCUCUUGGUACCAAAUGGGCCGUGGGCAGUGUCGGCAGCAGUUAGGCGCCCCUGGCAGUGGGCAGGGUGUGUAGAGCAGUCAUCGGAAGGAGCAGGCACCAGGAGAGGGGCCCCUCUUGGCUGAGCCGCUGCCCCAGACCAGGGACUGUGUCUCAUUCCAUGAGCACAACAUUUCUGUGGGGUCUGUGCCUUUAUUUUCUGCACUUUACAUGAAAGGAAACCGAGGCUGGGAGAGGUUACAAUCAAGAGUGCAUGGGGAGAGUUCCCGUCAUGGCUCAGAGGUUAACGAAUCUGACUAGGACCCAUGAGGUUGCGGGUUCGAUCCCUGGCCUUGCUCAUGGAUUAAGGAUCUGGUGCUGGCCGGAGGCACCGAUUUGACCCCUAGCCUGGGAACCUCCAUGUGCCAUGGGUGCGGCCCUAGAAAAGGCAACAAACAAACAAACAAACAAAAACGAAAAGAGUGCAUGGAGCUGGUGCUGGUACCCAGGUUGGCAAGAGGGUAAAGCCCCCAUUCUCCAUGCUGCCCUUUCAGAGAGCCUGACCUGGUGUCUUGGCCCCUCUCCUGAGCAGGCCUGGGACUGGAGGUGACCUGUUUUGGCUCCAGCAUUUGGGUGCUGGCAGGCUGGACCCCUGCCACAUGCGGUGUGUGAGGCAAGCAGACCCUGGGAGAUUUGCUGACACCUGUCUUUCUGCUUUUCCAACCGCUGGGGACUUUGAGUUUGUGAACCCUGGAGCAGGGGGCAGAAGAGUGGGUGGGAGUCCAGUUCAGCCCCGCUCUUUCAUGGUGUCACCUGAGGCAACCCUCUGCCCUUUCCUGGGCCUCAGUGUACCUAGUCUAUGACCCAGAGCCUUAGGACUCAAGAUGGGGUCCACCAAGGAUCAGCUUCAGGGGCCCCUGCUGGAAGGGCUGCAUCUCAGGCCCCUGGGUCACCAUCUGUGUUCUCCCAGGGCCCUGCGCAUUCACAUGGUCACAGAGGUUGUAAAACAAUGAAACUCUCGUGGGUUCUCCAGCUGCCUGCUGGUUCAAUGAGUUGGGCAUUCUGUGACUAACAGUCAGCACCUGAAGCUGGGCUGAGCCCAGCCUUGAAGGCUGAAGCUCAGCCUGGUUGUUCCAGCCAAGGAGGAUAAGCUGGGAAUACUCGGCAAGGCUCUUGUGGGGACGGAAGGGACAGCUCCUGCAAGACCGGCCAUGGGCAGGCCCGAGAUGGUCAGGAGCAGCCAGCCAGCUGCAAGGAGCUCUCCGGCUGGGGCAGGAGGCCAGGCUCACAGACUCAGGACAGCAACCUGGGUACAGGGAGGGAGAGGACAGAGCUGCAGGAGACCAGAGGAGGGUGGGGUCGGGGGGGACCCUGGGGCCAGAGGAGACUGGGAAGGAGAGACCACUAAUGUGGACCGAAGCCCCAGAGCAAGACGGUCCUCUCUGCUGCUCUGCAGGUGACCCCAAGGCCCCAUAGGUGACAUCUCAAGGCCCCAUUACAGAGCAGCAGGGGCACACAAUUAAAUUCAAAUGCUCAUCCAUUUCCCCAAAAGCAUCAGCAUUUUCCAACCCUUUUAUGGAUUUCUGAGGAAAGAUAAAAUGCAGCUGUUUUGGCUCCUGAGCCAAUGAAAUAAUGUGAGGUGGCCCGAGUUCUCUCCAAGGAAAUCAGCAGCUUAUUUAUUUAUUUUUGACUCCAGAACUUCUAUCCCAGUCUCAUAAUGAACUUGAGCUUCUAAACCUGCCCCUUUAUUGCCCUGGCCCUCACCUCAAACCACUUUGGGGUGACUUCUUUGUAGACACUCAAAAGCCUUCUGGCGACGUGACUGUUGUCAAUUUUUAUGCUUCACUUUCCUCUUCUAAAAAAACGUGGGUUGCCUAACCCCUGGGUCCGGCAGGAUCCUUGGCACAGUUAAAAGAGGUUCUGCAGGCCACAGCCUCACAGAAUGCCUAGCACAUCGUAGGUCCUCAAUUAUGCCACGUGCCUGCCUUUCAGAUCUCUUGGGGGUUAAGGAACUCAUAUAAAGCGAGCUGCCUGCUGCUACUCCUGCUGGGCCCCAGAUGUUGCAAUUUCCUUUCCCGUGAACACAACCCUGGCCGUCACAGGCCUAGGAUGGCUCAGGUCCACAGGGUACACAGGCCUCGCAGUGACCUUGAGACUGGUAGGGCCAGCAUGGGCACUGCCACCACCACAGUGAUGCCCAGGAAGCCCGAAGGCCAGCCUUCCUGUAUGUGUGGAUUAGCCCAGGGUUGUGCCAGCAGGCCUCUGCUACUGCACCAUGCUCGGUCACUUCCUGAGAAGAGCCUUGCUUCAAAACGCCUGGAAGUGCUUGCUCUCCUUUAUGUCCCAAGCUAGUCUUCAUUUUGCUGGGAUCCAAUCUUUGAUGUCAAGAAGCACAGGAAAGUGGGAGGAAUCUUGAGUGCAGGCAGCAUCCUCCUUCCCAUGUUCCCUGACAGCUCACCUCUCACCCAGGCUCCCUUCCCAGCUGGCGUGCCCCGUAGGUGAUGGGUUACCUGUCCCUGCAGCCUAGUGGAGACCAGGUGGAACACCCAUGGCCAGGUGUGGCAGGGGACCACUAACCCAGAUGAUCCUAGGGCCUCUGGUAUGGUUAUUAUCCACUGCCUAAGCCAGAGAGCUCUUUUUGAGUUUCUGGCAUGAUAACCCCAUGAAGUGGGUUGCAUCACAUGUCCCCCAAAAGAUAUGCCCAGUCCAAACCCCCAGUACCUGUGAGUGUGAAAUAUCCCCUUAUUUGGGAAAAGGGCCUUUGCAGAUGAAAUUGAGUUAAGAAUCUUGAGAUGAGAUCAUCCUGGAUUUAGGGUGGGCCCUAAAUCCACUGGCUGGUGCCUUAUAAGGAGAUAGAAAUCUGAGACACAGAGACACGGGCCAGAGCCGGUGAAGAUGGAGGCAGAGAUUGGAGUGAUGCGUCUACAAGCCAAGGACCGUCAAGGAUCGCUAAGCGCCCAGCAGAAGCUGGAUGAGGCAAGGAAAGAUUCUCCCUAGUGCCUCGGGAAGCAUGGAAAGCCUGCUGAUCGUUUGGUUUGGGACUUCUGGCUUUCAAAACUGUGUGGGAAUAAAUUUUUGCGUAAGCCACCCAAUUUGUGAUCAUUUGUUACAACAGCCCUAGAAGACUAAUGCACUAUAGAAAGUAGCAUAAAAAGUUUAAAAUAAGGCGACUAUGCACGUGUUUGAAGUGUUUUCAGUGUGGUAGGGCGAUGAGGCCCCCUGAAGGAGUGGGAGGGCCCUGGGGAUGCCUCAGGGUUCCGUGGAGGCUGUGGGGACCGUUGAGGCCCACAGGCCGGGCGGUCAGUGCUGCUGGUGGGAGGUGGCCUGCAUCUGAGCUCUGAAGGAUGCUGAGCAUCGGUGCAGACCCAGGGUGCCUUGCCUGGGGGUGGGAGGGAUGUUUGGAGGUGGACAUUGGAGUGCUGUGUUUGUGGAAGGUGGGAAAACAUUAAAAGACACAGAAAAGAUGCUGGCUGUCAGAGAAGUGUGGGAAAUUAAGCCCCCCUCUUAUUUAUCUCCCUUCAGGCCUACGGAGCUCUCUACUCAUCCAGGGGCAGGUAGUGUGGAGAUUACUGGGCUCCAGGCCUGGAUCCAGUGUGGUGGGAACCCAGAGGGGAAUUAUGCCCUGUCCUCUCCUGUCCCCUCCACAGGGAGGUCGGAGUCAGUGAGGUGGACCCAAGGGGUGACAGUCACAGACAGACGCAGGCAAGAUGCCAGGGGAUUGGGGGAAGGAGGCUUCUCCCUGAGCUGGGGUGUCCAGGGAGACUUCCUGGCAGAAGUGGUGGAUCUGGUUCCAUGAAGUCUGGAAGUGGGUGUGUGUGUGUGUGUGUGUGUGUGUGUGUGUAUUGGGGGGUGGGGGUACCUGGAUGAUCUUUGAGCAGGAAGCCAGGGGAUGAUCCAGGGAGUGUGAUGGGGCCGUGGGUGUGUACAGGACUGGAGGGUGAGGGGCAGAGCAGUGGGUUGUGGGGGAGGGGAGAUGCAGGCUCAGCUGGAGGAUGUCUUCUGAAAUGCUUUGUGACGAAAUGGGUGGCAGGGUGAGCACAUUAUGGGGACCAUGACUCAGGCUGCAGAGUCCAGAGAACCCAAGUGUAGCUCGAGGGCACCGUAUCUUUGUGGUGAGGCUGAAGGCAAGGCUUGCGAGUACUCUUUCCUGGCCAGACAGAUGGCCAGACGGCCACACACACACACACACACUCAGACCCACACAGACUCACAGAGAAGCCUUUUUCCCUGACUCUGUCCUCCCCGUCCCCACCUGCUUCUUACUUCCUCCUCUGCUUUCUCCCUACUGUCCCCUCCCUACUCACAGGGAGGGCAAAGCCUAGCCCCAGACAGCAGCACAUGUCCAGCCUCCCAGACAGCGUCAGCUCUUCGCAAAGGCCAAGGGCAGAGAGGGACAAGGUACGCAGGCAGGCACUGACCCACCAAGACACUGAGACACACAGACCCCAGUCACACCACAGCACAAAGAAAAGUGCUGGGGCACACACAUCACACACACUGACCCAUGCAGGGAGGCACAUAGAGGAUGCGACACCCAUCCCAGGGCACACACUUGCAGACAUCCACACCCAGACACUCACCGGCAUAUACACAGACUCACAUAUACACUCUAAACAGAAAGAUACACACACAAGGAGAUCCUCAGACACACACACACAAAGACACACAGAUGCAUAGUCAGAUCAACACGGGCAGAGCCACGGAGACAAAGAGGCUUUGAGCGAGACCAGCCCGCCCCAGAACCCACACAUCCCAGCUUUGCAGUCCCCCUAGGAACCCUCUCAAAAGCCAGGAGAAAUUCCUGGGAUAUUAGCUAAAUUUCAGACACAAACAUUCUGGUCUCCCUCUCCAGAUGUAAUGCUCGUGGAAACCUGCACAGCCCUCCCUCGGCUGGCCCCGCAGGCCCCCACUCCCUGGCUUCUAGGAACGUUGCCAUGUGGAGACAGGGCCAGACUCAGGAAGGGGGUGGUCCCAGAGAGGUGGGGGGACCACACCGGGCAGGGAGCACAGGGCCACAUUGGUGGGGCUCUCGACGCACUGGGGGGGAUCCUGACAGAUGAGGGCAGCAGGCAGAGAGGGAAGGGGCAGGUAGAGAAGGGGGCCUCCUUGCAGCAGAUGGGGGCACUGCUCAAAGUCAGAGAUGACCUGGUCCUGGGGAUGCACGGAGAGGAUCUAGACUGGAGUCAGAUGCCCACCGGGAAGCUUGGCUCAACAUAGGGGCCCUUGCAAGGACAGGGGCCUCACUCACCUUCCUAUAGACACACUGGCCACCUCUCAGCUCCAGGAACAUGGCAAGUCCUUUCUACCUCAGGGCCUUUGCACACACUGAUCCCUCUGUUACAGCCAAAGCUCAGUGCAUAGCAAAAGCUCGAGUGUGGGUCCUGUCUCUUAGGCCACAUAUGCCACUUUAAAUUCUUCAGCCGCAGUUUCCAUAUCUAAAAUGUAUUGAAAAUGCAUUUCUCUCACAAGGUUCUUGUGAGAACAAGAUGAGACAAUGAACAUAAUUGGGCUUUGGCAAAUAUCCUCUCACCUCAUGUGAGGGCUGCAUGAUCUUUCUUCUUAACCCCCCAGUGAGAAUGGUGGUGACCUUGAGUUAAACACAGAUGGCUCCGGAAACACAUGUCCAGAAGUGUCUGCCUAAAAAGUAUGCUUGCAGAGGUCCUGUGAGGUGUCCUGACUCUUGGCCAAUGCCUGCAAUUCCAUUGUUCUUAUCACAAGCCUGUAUCGUCAACUCAAAGCCCAUUAGAGUCAUCAGUGCUUCACCUCUGCCUGAAACACAGACAGUCUGCAAAUCUGGAUGCUUCACGUCUCAAUCAGCCUCACAUCCACCUGUCCUAGCACCUGAGACACCGGGACCCAGCAGGGCACCCACUCAGUGGCAUCUCCCAGGACAAGCCAAAUAUCCCCCCACCGAGUAAGUCACUCCCUCUCCAUCUUCCGUGCUGGCUUCCUGCAAAGGGCAGUAGCUGCUGAGGAGCUCGGCCUCUUGCAGGGUGGCUGACUGCGGGCAAGUGACUUAAUAGCUUUGAGUUUGGGUUUUUGCAUGUUUCCCCUACCCCACAUAUUUCCCUUAAAAAACAUGGCUCACCUUAUGAGCUAGACCCUGACAGUGCUCCAGGCACAUGGCUGUAACUCAGUAAAUGGUGACUGCAGUGACGAUGAUGAUGAUGAGAUGAAGUAAGAAGAGCUCCCCAGGUGAUGGUGGGAUGGGAGCUUGUUGCCCUGCUCAGAGACUGCUGGGUCUGAGACACAGGGCUGCCUGCCUCCCUCCCGCCCGGACAAGGCUUGCUUUUGCAAGAGGCAGCUCGUUAUGCGGGAGAUAUAUGUCCUGUCGUAAAGCGUUUAAUAUUUUAGCUCCUAAUUGCGUUACCAGAGACAGACAGCUGUUUAUCCUCAUCACUCUCCCAUUGCUGUCUUUGGCAGGACCCACUGGGCCGCUCCAGGUGUUUCCUUGCCUCCUCUUCUGAAAAUUCGGGACCGCCAUACAGACACCUCCCGGCUCUUCUGUGUGGUCAGGCGGUGAGUGGUGCCAGAAUGCAGGGGCCUAUGCUUGGAGCCAUGGGGGGUUCCAGAUGUCCUGUGUUCCCUAUCUGCCUCCUCCUACCUGCCCCUUUAUUAAGCACCAUGGCAUCCAUCAGCUCAUCUGAUUUUCACAGCAGCCCUUCCAGGCCAGAACAGCUAUUAUUGAUCCCAUGAUACAGAGGGGGAACUGAUGCUAGGAGAGGUUGUGAAUUUCACUCAUUCACUCAUUCAUUCACUCAUUCAGCCGUCCUUUUGGUUGGAGCAGCAUUGUGAAAGGCACUAAGGACAGCGAUAUGAGUAAGGUGUAGCCCCUCACCCUCAGGGACCCACGGCCUUGCGCAGAUGGAAGGUGGCAAUGACCUGACCACCCUUGGAGUGUCUCUGUCUCCCUAGGCAGUGCUCACUGGCAGAAUGCUAGUUCUAAAACAUGGGCCAAACUCACUUCUAGAGCUCUUGGAUGGGCUGAUCUCAGUGUAAAGCCCCAGACUCUCUGCUAAGCUUUCUAGUCUCCCACCAUCUUCACCACACUGAGACCCGUGGAACCUCAUGCUUCCCAACUUGCCACACAUGUGACAACCCCACUCACUGCCCACCCAACAGCCAUGCCUUCCUUCUACUCACCUGUCUUCCCGGCUCCCAGAGCUCUGAUGCUGUGGGGGGUGGGCAGAGACUCUGGCACCUAGCCUGUCAGCAGCCCCGGUGUAAACGGAUCAUGGUUAUCCUAACGCCCUUUGCCAGGCACCUCCCAGUCUUCCUCAUAGGUGGGGGUGACCAGCCCAUCAGUGAGAAUAGGGGACAGUUAUGGACCAAAUGUCUGUGCCUCCUUCAAGUUCGUACGUUCAGACCUUAGCCUCUUGCCCCUGAUUGUAUUAGGAGGUGGGGCCUUUGCGAGGUGAUAAGGUCGUGAGGCUGGAGCCUCAUGAAUGGGAUCAGUGUCCUAAUAAAAGGGACCCCAGCGAGCUCGUGUUCCUCUUUCCGCCACCUGAUAUUUUAAGAAGUUGGCUAUCUGCAACCAGAAGGGGACUCUCACCAGAACCCGACCUUGCUGGCACCCCGAUCUCAGCUUUUCAGCCUCCAGAACUGUGAGAAAUAUAUUUCUGUAGUUACAAGCCACCUCGUCUAUGAUGCUUUGUGAUAGCAGCCAGCACGGGCUUCAACAGGGGUAUGUGCUGGAGAAUUUCAGGACAGAUGGAGUCUCUCCAUCCUCUUCUUUGUAUCUUGAGCUUGGUUGUAAGCAGAUGAGAUGUUCGGAGCAGCAGCAGCCAUCAUUUGAUCAGGUGAUAACACACCAAUUGCAAAAAGCCAGUACACCAAGAAGAGCUGAGCAGAAAUGUGGGUGAGCCCGGGUGUUUGUGGGCAUCAGUGGCCUAGGACCAGGCUGCUCCCAGGUAGUGAGGGAGGAGAUGCCUCUCAGCUGAUACCGCUGCUCUUAGGGGCUCACUGGUUUGCACUGGAUACAUCCUAGCAGACGCCUGAGUCAGCCUCUGCCACCUCCUGUCUAGAAUGCCCUCUCCUCUGGUUUCGUUCUGAAAACUUUUUCUCACCUUUUAAGACCCAACCCAAGUCCUUUUCUGAGAAAAAUUUACCCCAUCCUGACCACAGCGUUGAGCGCCAGGUCAUCAGAGCCCCUGUGAUACUGAGUUCAGCCUGCUUGUAGUCUCCGCCUGCCAUGGUGGGUGCUACCUGCAGUCAUACCAUUCAUAGGGCAGUGGGUGCCACAGCCAGGCCCCCUGCUUGUCCUGGCAUAGCCGCCUGAGGAAGGGAUCAAGGGCCAUUCUCUCUCUAGGCAGCUGGGGCUGGGGCCCGUCACAAACUAAGCCCCGAGCAGGGCCUGCUGGGGGAUGAAGUCAUGUGGAAAAACACUCAAGUUAGAACAAAACUGUCUUUCUGCAAAUGACUUCAUCAUGUCGCCAGAAGGCUCGGAUCACUCCACCUCUCACCUUUUCCCGCCCGCCCAUGGGAGCGGGGAAGACCAGUUCCUCGGGUCCUGUUACAUCACUCAGGCAAAAGUAAACGUUACCGAGACCCACCCACCAGGGGCUGGAGAGCUGAUGCCUUCAUCUCCCUCCAGAGGCAGGACUUCCUCUGACCCCUCAGGCUGGGAAGGCCUGGAGGGCAAGCUGGGGCCUCCUCUACCUCUGUGAUCUCAGGGCCCUGCUUAGAGACCAGCAAAAACAUAAAAUAAUACAAAACCCACUUGUGGAGUUCCCCUUGUGGCUCAGUGGAAAUGAAUGCAAUUAGUAUCCAUGAGGAUGCAGGUUCGAUCCCUGGCCCUGCUCAGUGGGGUAGAGAUCCUGCGUUGCUGUGGCUGUGGUGCAGGCCGGCAGCUGUAUCUCCGAUUCGACCCCUAGCCUGGGAACUUCCAAAUGCCACACCUGUGGUCCUAAAAAGCAAAAGCAAAAAGAAAACAAAACAAAACAAAAAAAAAAAAAGAAAAAAA
rnacentral:lncRNA from 1 species